UAAUUAGCGUGUCGCACUGAGGUGUUGGAUGGAAUCAGAGGGCAUCAUGGGAGCUGGCUGAUUGGCAGAUGACCUAAUUUAACAGGGAAGUAGAAAAGGAACAUGAGGUCGAAAAAAGAAGAAAAAAAAGCUUUUCUUUCCAUACAUUUUACAACUUGUAUGUGAAGAUGCCACAUGUUAAACAUGGUUUGACACGUUCACGCCGUAGUGUUUACUUUUGACUGGUUAUUUUCACUUUACCUUUUAUUUUGUUUCAAUUUUAUAGAACUAUGUAACUUUGUUUUGAAAGGUGCUAUAUAAAUAAAUUAUCACUAAUUUGAAGAAACUGCAACUGAAAAAAGUAUUUUUCUUCAUACUCUGGCAUUUGGCAGACAAACCGAUAAAUCACUUAUACAAAGAGUUGGAUCCAUAUAUUGUGUAGAAUAAUAACAAAUAACCUGAGCCGUUUUAGCAGUAAAUGAAAGAAAUACAAUAUGUGCGUGACUAAGGAAGCCUCGUGAGUAAAGAUUGUGCCUCAUUGGUCACAUUUUCUUUUCACUGUAGCGCUCUUUCAGGAAAUACAGGACUAACCGGGGAAGAGGAAUUCUGUCCUCCGGUGGAUUAAAGUUGUCCCAGAUUAGUGAUCUUUUAAUGUAAACCAUGACCUACAGCUAUUCAAAAGUAGGCAUGACUAACAGGACACAACAGCUUCCAUGAAAAUGGAAAAAGGAGCAUUAAACGGUUCAUACACACCGGUGUUGCCACUAAGCUUGUCACAAAGGUAAAAUACGAGAACUUUCCCGGACGAGGAAGAACAGAGGAGAUGCAUUUUUUUUUUGGCAGGAUUAAAAAAAAAAACGCACCCCGUUUUUUGUCUUUGCCAAGAGACCAGUGAGGCAUCUAAGGCUGUUUGUCAUCUUUUUUUUAUUGUUUGUUCAUUCUGGACGUUUUCAGAAAGAAAAAGAUUAGGAGGUGUCGUUUUUUAGUACAUGUUUUACUUGUCCCGCUUACUUGGGUUGGAAAACGGCCCAUGAACCAAAAUGAAAGGUCUGAGAAAGGAUUCCUCUUCCAGGGCGACACAAGCUUGUGAUUUGUGCGUGCGUAUUUAUACAGACAGAAGUAGAGGCUGGAAUUUGAUAUUUUUUUGGGAUGCACACACUGACCCUGACCCUCCUCAUUGGUGAGAACCGUGACCUACAAAACCAGUGAGCUUUGAAGUACUGGCCUUGUCCUGAGUGAUGAAAGUGGGCAGACGGGACGGCCACUGUAGGCCAUGGCAGAGAUUAGGGGUUGUUUAGUUAGCGGUUCUAACACUGGAGCCCAGUUUGCAGCCAUGACGCCUGUUGUGUUUGCAGAGACACCCAGUUGGAUUAGCUUGAUAAAGUGGAAGUAAAUCAAAAGAGCAUCCAAAGCAGUGUGACUGGGCAAGUACAAAAGAGGAGACGAGUGGCUACUAGAGUACCAUCGGACAGAGUUCGAUGGAUGGGGCGGGAGAAAAUGCAUUUCACAAUCAUCAUUUUUUUCUUUUAAGUUAACAGGUCAUAGUCCUAAUGCAUGGACCAAAAAAAGGAAGAUAUUGC
ensembl:lncRNA